CCGUCCUCAUCGAAACCCUCACCGCCCUCGGCGCCGAGGUCCGCUGGUGCUCCUGCAACAUUUUCUCCACCCAGGACCACGCAGCCGCCGCCAUCGCCCGUGACAGCGCCGCCGUCUUUGCCUGGAAGGGCGAGACCCUCCAGGAGUACUGGUGGUGCACCGAGCGCGCCCUCGACUGGGGCCCCGGUGGUGGACCCGAUCUGAUCGUCGACGACGGCGGUGACGCCACCCUCUUGAUCCACGAGGGAGUCAAGGCCGAGGAGGAGUUCGCGAAGUCCGGGACUCUCCCCGACCCGUCUUCCACCGAUAACCAGGAGUUCCAGCUCGUUCUGACCAUCAUCAGAGAUGGCUUGAAGACCGACCCCAAGAGGUACCACAAGAUGAAGGACAGGUUGGUCGGAGUCUCGGAGGAGACCACCACCGGCGUCAAGAGAUUGUAUCAGAUGCAGGCCAGCGGCGCUCUCUUGUUCCCCGCCAUCAAUGUCAACGACUCUGUUACCAAGAGCAAGGUAUGUCUCUCGGGUCUCCUUUUUGCUAUCAAUUCUGCUAUAUUAUUUAGAUC
rnacentral:lncRNA from 1 species